rnacentral:lncRNA from 1 species
GAGUUGCAUAGCCUGGUCUUUGUCAAGCUGUGCUUCUAAAACAGGUCGUUAGAUACAUGGAGCUUGCACAGGGAGGAGCUGGUCGUUGUAGCAGCAGUGCAAAAGGGACCUGCUUGCCAGCUGGCUGACGCAUUGCAUUAGGUGGUUGCCCUGUUGCCAUUGCUUGCUGAUUACCCAUUCUUUGGAACUGAGAUUCAUCUUCCGGGGUCUGUCCUAUAUUUUGAGCAGGAUUUUUAUCAGCAGAACAGUUAUGCCUUGAGAUAUAUAUUCAUUCAUAUUUAUGAUACAAAGAGAAUGAUUGAGUAGAGAUGGUUAACUGUUACAAAGGCAAUGAUCAUGUGUACAAGUCCAUCAUAUAUACCUAAAAUGCCCAUAUAUAACUAACUAUAAUUUUGUAUUACAAAUCGACAAAACAAUGAGAGGCAACUACACAAAUCGAAGGUAUCACUAAAAGCAAGGUGUAAAAAAGAAUGAUUGAGCACAGGGCCAUCGCUAAGUUUUUUUU